UAGAGUUUGAUCCUGGCUCAGAUUGAACGCUGGCGGCAGGCUUAACACAUGCAAGUCGAGCGGAAACGAUGGAAAGCUUGCUUUUCAGGCGUCGAGCGGCGGACGGGUGAGUAAUGCUUGGGAAUAUGCCUUAUGGUGGGGGACAACAGUUGGAAACGACUGCUAAUACCGCAUAACGUCUACGGACCAAAGGGGGGGAUCUUCGGACCUCUCGCCAUUUGAUUAGCCCAAGUGAGAUUAGCUAGUUGGUGAGGUAAAGGCUCACCAAGGCGACGAUCUCUAGCUGGUUUGAGAGGAUGAUCAGCCACACUGGGACUGAGACACGGCCCAGACUCCUACGGGAGGCAGCAGUGGGGAAUAUUGCACAAUGGGCGAAAGCCUGAUGCAGCCAUGCCGCGUGUGUGAAGAAGGCCUUCGGGUUGUAAAGCACUUUCAGUUGUGAGGAAAGGUAUGUAGUUAAUAACUGCAUACUGUGACGUUAACAACAGAAGAAGCACCGGCUAACUUCGUGCCAGCAGCCGCGGUAAUACGAGGGGUGCAAGCGUUAAUCGGAAUUACUGGGCGUAAAGCGUACGUAGGCGGUUUGUUAAGCAAGAUGUGAAAGCCCAGGGCUCAACCUUGGAACUGCAUUUUGAACUGGCAAACUAGAGUACUGUAGAGGGGGGUAGAAUUUCA
rnacentral:rRNA from 1 species